rnacentral:rRNA from 1 species
UACGUAGGGUGCGAGCGUUUAAUCGGAAUUACUGGGCGUAAAGUGUGCGCAGGCGGCCAUGCAAGUCGAGUGUGAAAGCCCCGGGCUUAACUUGGGAAUUGCGCUCGAAACUACGUGGCUGGAGUGUGGCAGAGGAAGGUGGAAUUCCACGUGUAGCGGUGAAAUGCGUAGAGAUGUGGAGGAACACCAAUGGCGAAGGCAGCCUUCUGGGCCAACACUGACGCUCAUGCACGAAAGCGUGGGGAGCAAACAGG